rnacentral:rRNA from 1 species
AGGACUAACGCUGGCGGCGUGCCUAACACAUGCAAGUCGAACGAAGUAGCAAUACUUAGUGGCAGACGGGUGAGUAACACGUAGUCAACCUGCCCUUCAAUGGGGGAUAACUAGCCGAAAGGUUAGCUAAUACCGCAUACGAUCUCUGAGUGGCAUCACUCGGCGAUGAAAGGAGUAAUCCGUUGAAGGAGGGGACUGCGUCCCAUUAGUUAGUUGGUGGGGUAAUGGCCUACCAAGACUCCGAUGGGUAGCUGGCUUGAGAGAGCGACCAGCCACACUGGAACUGAGACACGGUCCAGACUCCUACGGAGGCAGCAGUGAGGAAUUUUCCGCAAUGGGGGAAACCCUGACGGAGCGACGCCGCGUGUGGGAAGAAGGCCUUCGGGUCGUAACCACUGUCGAGGGGGACGAUAUUGACGGUACCCCUGGAGGAAGCCCCGGCUAACUACGUGCCAGCAGCCGC